GUUCUUUGGCUGCAGAAAGUGAAGUCAGGGCCGGGGAUUUAGCUCAGUAGUGGCGCCUGCCUCACAAGCGCAAGGUCCUGAGUUCGGUCCCUAGUACCAAAGAAAAGAAAAGAAAAUGAACUCAGAUGAAGUGAGUCAUGUUUAGAGCUGUCUUCAGCAGGGUUGAAACGGGGAAGGGGCGGUAGCCAUGGGGAAGGCAGGACGCUCCCCGUGGGGGUGCCGUCACUGCUGCCAGGGGUUCAUCCGGGGCCUCACUCACAGGGGACGCGCGCAAAGCAGAGUCCUGGGAGAGGCCGUCGUGGCUCAAGGCACUUGUUUUGCAGCCCCUGAGUGGGAGACCAGAUGCACCUACAGCCGGUGGGAUUCUGAGCACCCAGCUCCCCGCAGCACCGGAAGCUUCCCGAACAGAUCUCCUCUUCCCAGAAUACUUAGCGCUAAUUGGAAGCAGCUGAACCCUUAAAGCUGUGUUCCACCGCAUCCUCCUAAUAUCCACCCACUAUUAAUGCACCCAACAAAGAUGUGCCCUCUGGGCUCAGCCCCAGCUCACACGCUUGCCCGCGCGCGCUGUAAAGCUGGUUUAAGAUAGCAAGGCUGAUUUUGACAAGGCCACAGCAGAUGUGAGGAAGCUGAAAGCAAGGCCAGAGGAUGAAGAGCUGAAAGAACUCUACGGGCUUUACAAGCAGGCUGUCGCUGGGGACGUCAGCAUCGGGAACUGUAUCAUCACUCUAAAGGGGUUGUCAGAGGAAGAUGCCAUGAGUGCCUAUAUUUCUAAAGCAAAAGAGCUGAUUGAAAAGUAUGGAAUAUAGAAUUCAUCAGAGGAAAAAGUUUUCCUUCGAAGCCUUCAUAACGGUAUCAUGAGCUAUUAACAUUCAGGACAAGGGCACUGUUGCCUCUGGCUAUGUUUGCUGUCAGCAUGAAUUAUAGUACUUAGGAGAAUACUGAAACCAUGUAGCCGGCUAAAUUUUAUUUGCUUAAAUCAGGUAACUUUACAAGUUCGUUUGCUGGGUGUGGUGGUGCACUCCUAUAAUCCCAGCACUCAGGAGGCUGAGGCAGGAACUGGAGGCCAGCUUGGGCUACAGAGUGAGUUCAAGGCCAGCCUGAACUACACAGAAAGAAGCUGUCUCAAACAAAACAAAUAAGUUCUUUUAAAAAAUGAUUGCUCUGGUAGUGUGUAUAUAAAAACUUCAAAAAUUAUUCUUUUGGCUUACUGUUCUGCAAUGAUUCAGUGCGACUAGGGUAAUAAAGAGUUUAAGAAUCAGUGGGAA